rnacentral:rRNA from 1 species
AGUCCUACGGGACGCAGCAGUGGGGAAUAUUGCACAAUGGGGGGAACCCUGAUGCAGCGACGCCGCGUGAGUGAAGAAGUAUUUCGGUAUGUAAAGCUCUGUCAGCAGGGAAGAAGAAAGACGGUACCUGACCAAGAAGCCCCGGCUAACUACGUGCCAGCAGCCGCGGUAAUACGUAGGGGGCAAGCGUUAUCCGGAUUUAUUGGGUUUAAAGGGUGCGCAGGCGGUCUGUUAAGUCAGCGGUCAAAGCCCGGGGCUCAACCCCGGCCCGCCGUUGAAACUGGCAGUCUCGAGUUG